UUUCGGAGCGUAAACUCCUUUUAUCAGGAAAGAAUAAUGACGGUACCUGAUGAAUAAGCACCGGCUAACUCCGUGCCAGCAGCCGCGGUAAUACGGAGGGUGCAAGCGUUACUCGGAAUCACUGGGCGUAAAGGACGCGUAGGCGGAUUAUCAAGUCUUUUGUGAAAUCUAGUGGCUUAACCACUAAACUGCUUAGGAAACUGAUAGUCUAGAGUAGGGGAGAGGUAGAUGGAAUUCUUGGUGUAGGGGUAAAAUCCGUAGAGAUCAAGAAGAAUACCCAUUGCGAAAGCGAUCUGCUGGAACCUAACUGACGCUGAGGCGUGAAAGCGUGGGUAGCAAACAGGAUUAGAUACCCUGGUAGUCCACGCCCUAAACGAUGUAUACUAGUUGUUGCUUUGCUAGUCAAGGCAGUAAUGCAGCUAACGCAUUAAGUAUACCGCCUGGGGAGUACGGUCGCAAGAUUAAAACUCAAAGGAAUAGACGGGGACCCGCACAAGCGGUGGAGCAUGUGGUUUAAUUCGAAGAUACGCGAAGAACCUUACCUGGACUUGACAUCCUAAAAACAUCUAAGAGAUUAGAAAGUGCUAGUUUACUAGAAUUUAGUGACAGGUGCUGCACGGCUGUCGUCAGCUCGUGUCGUGAGAUGUUGGGUUAAGUCCCGCAACGAGCGCAACCCACGUGUUUAGUUGCUAACAGUUCGGCUGAGCACUCUAAACAGACUGCCUUCGUAAGGAGGAGGAAGGUGUGGACGACGUCAAGUCAUCAUGGCCCUUAUGUCCAGGGCGACACACGUGGCUACAAUG
rnacentral:rRNA from 1 species